GACGAACGCUGGCGGCGUGCCUAAUACAUGCAAGUCGAACGCAGUGGGGACGGGUGAGUAACACGUGGGUAACCUCCCAUCAGAGGGGAUAACACUUGGAAACAGGUGCUAAACCGAUACUGAUGGAUGGACCCGCGGUGCAUUAGCUAGUUGGUGUGGUAACGGCUCACCAAGGCCACGAUGAAUAGCCGACUUGAGAGGAGGACCAGCCACAGUUGAACUGAGACACGGCCCAGACUCCUCCGGGAGGCAGCAGUGGGGAAUCGUGGGCAAUGGACGAAAGUCUGACCGAGAAAGGCCGCGUGAGUGAAGAAGGUUUUCGGAUCGUAAAACUCUGUUGUUAGGGAAGCGGUAUCUAACGAGAAAGCCACGGCUAACUACGUGCCAGCAGCCGCGGUAAUUC
rnacentral:rRNA from 1 species